rnacentral:lncRNA from 1 species
AUGGUAUUUCCUUCCUUGUAUGUUGGUGGUCUGCUUCCUUUUGUUUUGUUUUCAGUUUCUGGUUGGACUUACUCUGUAAAGACACUGAACACCUCAGUUGGUGACCCUCCCCCCCAGCUGGGAUUAGUAUUUCCGUCUGCCUGGACUGUGCUUGCUGUUCUGACCCGGGGCCUUCUAAGGAUGCAGCUGUACUGCCACAGGAGAGCCUCUGCGAGUACCUGGUUCAACGUGAUGGCAAAUAAAAGACAUGCAGAAUUGCAAAGCUCAUUCGAUUGAUUGCACACACUGGACAGAGUCACGCUGAUGGGAACCCAUGGAUGGAUUUAGAAUUCUCUUCAUACACAUAAUCCUGUGAAAACCAAG